rnacentral:rRNA from 1 species
AAUUUUGGACAAUGGGGGAAACCCUGAUCCAGCCAUCCCGCGUGUAUGAUGAAGGCCUNCGGGUUNUNAAGUACUUUGGGCAGAGNCGCAUAGGCAUCCCCUAAUACGGGAUACUGCUGACGGUAGCUGUUGAAUAAGCACCGGCUAACAACGUUCCAGCAGCCGCGGUAAUACGUCGGGUGCAAGCGUUCAUCGGAAUUACUGGGCGUAAAGCGUGUGUAGGCGGUUCGGAAAGAAAUAUGUUAAAUCCCAGGGCUCAACCUUGGAACUGCAUGUUUAUCGGCCGAACUAGAGUAUGUCGGAUGGGGGUAGAAUUCCACGUGUAGCAGUGAAAUGCGUCGAUAUGUGGAGGAAUACCGAUGGCGAAGGCAGCCCCCUGGGAUAAUACUGACGCUCAGACACGAAAGCGUGGGGAGCAAACAGG